AAACAAAAGAACACCAUUUUACCACCUGGAAGGAAGGUACAUCCUCGGAUAUUUGUCAACGAAUCUUGUAUUUUUUGUUUCAACCUGAGUGUAAUGCUAUCAAAAUUUCUUGUAGAUUGUGCUACAAUUAUUUGAGCUUGUUGAAACUUUCUCUUUAGGAUGGUUAUAUUACAUGGACUUGAAUUCACUAAAACAUCUCCAAACUUCUUCAUGCUGGCGGUAAAUGUUUGCAAUGAUGUAUCAACGCUGCAAGUUAUAUCGAUUUGAUUCGCAUGUUCCUCUUUGAUAAUCGACUGUAUAAAGUGAUCUUCGUUUGCGACAUACUUUUCUAUUUGUUUUAAAGUCAAAAAUGAUUGGUACUCCGAGGCAUACUGUUUUGUAUUUUCAAAAUGACCUUGGUAUUCGAAGAUCUCUUUUUCUUUCUGUAUCAAUGAACUCAAAAGUUGGCGGAUCUUAUUACUUUCUCUUUCCUCAACCGUCUUUAGUUCACCCAUUAUAUCAUCCUGAAGUUUAUCUAGACGUUCAUUUAUCAUGGUCCGAAUAUCUUGAAUUUGAAUUUCAAUUGCCUUUCUCUUUUCUCGAAUUGAUGCCAGAUUUUCCUCUCGAUUGAUGCGUAUUCUUUUGAAAUUGUCGGCAACUUCUGAUAAGGUGUGGUCUAUUUCCAGAAAUGCUGCAGAAGAUUUGAUAUUCCCUAUCAUGUUAUUUAUGUCAGUUAAAUCUUUACACUUAUUGUGCAUCUCUACACAUUGCUUACAGCAUGGAGAAUCAUGUUUCCUACGGAAAAGUUCAUAUUUCUCGUUAUGAAUUUGGCAGAACUGAGCUACUCGCAAGACCUCGGCUGGUAGCUUUGUGUAUUUGGCGAUGGGAACUGUUUCAUGAUUUGUUGUUGCGUUCGAAAGGCUGUGAUGUUCUCUAUAAUCUUCACAUAGUCCUUCAUUGCAUUCUGAACACCAGACUACUGAUGGUUUAGUAAUUUUGCGUUGGUUACAUACACUACAACCAAUUAGUUUACUGGCCAUGAUUCUGU
rnacentral:lncRNA from 1 species